rnacentral:rRNA from 1 species
UACGUAGGGCGCAAGCGUUGUCCGGAAUUAUUGGGCGUAAAGAGCUCGUAGGCGGUCUGUCGCGUCUGCUGUGAAAACUCGGGGCUUAACCCCGGGCCUGCAGUGGGUACGGGCAGACUAGAGUGCGGUAGGGGAGACUGGAAUUCCUGGUGUAGCGGUGAAAUGCGCAGAUAUCAGGAGGAACACUGGUGGCGAAGGCGGGUCUCUGGGCCGUAACUGACGCUGAGGAGCGAAAGCAUGGGGAGCGAACAGG